CUGGGACCCUGGGAGGGCAUUCCAGGGGCUUGGCAACCAGCUGCAACCUCUCCAGCCAGAGAGGAAAUAAACCUCUGUGAGACUGCUGCUAAGGGUGCUGGUGACUGGGUGACCUGAGAGCUAGGGAAACUACAAAAUAGGAAAUGGGUGCAAUCCAGAGCUGAAGCCCCGUAUUCCAAAGGUCUCAGCUCCCCAGGAAACUGGAGGACUGAGGCCCCGAUCCAGGCUCUCAUCCCAGAAGUCUGGCACCAAAAAGUCCCCAGACAGC
rnacentral:lncRNA from 1 species